rnacentral:lncRNA from 10 species
GGCAGGUGAAGAGUGAUGGGUUGGUGCCACGUUCCUGGAUUCAGCCACCUUAACCCUGUUUAUUGUGAUUUAAUAGAAAUCCACUCACUGUGCCAUGCAUAUAAAAUGAAGUUUAUCCUAAGAUUUUUGCCUUUUCAAGCAUCUAAAUUCCUCAGUUUCUCAGAGAAUAGGCCAGGACCCAGAAGAAAAAAGUCAACUUUGAGUAAUAAAAUCAAAAUGAUAUUGAACACUAGAUAGAUAGAUAGAUAGAUAGAUAGAUAGAUAGAUAGAUAGAAAAAAGGGAAUAAAUGCCUCUGAGAAUUCCUAGUGCCUGAAAGCUCAAAACAAAUGUACAGGAAUCUUCUUGAGAUUGUGGAGAAGAUAUUCCUUAGAAAUAACUACUUUAUAUCCAUUAUUCUAUUUUGAAAUAUAUCAAACUUUCAUGGGUAGUCUUUUUUUUUUAGUAUGUUAAAUAUUUUUAGUGACCACAAAAUAUAAUCAUAAGGGAUCUUAUGGAUUUGUGCUUUUUUCCCCCCAAAAAAAGUCUUAAGUUCUUCCAUUCCAAAUUAUCUAUCCAGGGGGAUUUUCAGGAGUUAACAAUGUGUAAAAUGUUCCUUGUUCAAGACAAAGACAAAAAUGAAGCUUUUUAAAUUGCCCUUGUCACAGUUAGGAUAAAACAACCUCCCUAUCACCAGAGCAUGAUUCAACCCCCUAUUACCGAAGCAUUACCUUCCCAAUUCCUUUAGAAAGAGGUGGAGUUUGAAAUCGCAAAUAGAUAACAAAAUUUAAGCCCCCAAAGAGAGAGAGAAUAUGUAUCAAAAUAGCUAAAUGCAUGUAAAUAAGUACUAAAUUUAACAGGCAUGAGUAAUGCAAACCUCACAGGAGCCAUCUUGCCUAGGACUGCUUUCACGCUUCCAAUUCAAAGGAUAUAAAUGAGCUCCCCCCACACUUAAAUAUGGAAUAAAAAGACAGUUGCACCGGACUAUAGAAGAGGUAAGCCCAAAUUCACAGAGGUUUUAUUAAAAACAGGAAAAGGUCAGUCCUCUUCCCCCAAAGGAAUGUCCAGGGCUUGUAGGAAUUAUUACUCCAAGAUAGUUUCUUUAUUAAAUUUGCUGUGCAGAAAUAGAAAAACAAGGCCAGGGGAGAACUAGAAAGACACAGAAUGUCUUACUUUUGUCCAGCCUAAGCACUGCCACAAUCUAAAUUUAAUGCCAAGAUACCUCCUCUUCACUGUAUCUAUAAAUCAGAUACAUGUAAAAACCUAGAGUAAAUCCUUAAUGAACUAAGAAAUUAUGCAAUUAAACAAUCCACUAAUGAUAAAUAUGUCAUCUAUGUGCUUUCCUCAAAAUAAAACAAAUAAGAUAAAUUCAGAGUAUUGUCCCAGAUAUAACAUCUGCAAAAAACCUCCCUGCUCACCAAUGACAUGAAACAGCCAUCUACAUUUUAACCUAUGUUUGCUUCUAGUUAAAAUCAAGCAUUCGUUAAUGAAUUAGUUUGAGUGAAUUUAUAGAUUGAGGGCAGCCCAGCACUGCCUUGUUUAGCAAACAUUUUUCAACAUGGGCAGUCACAGGGAAAUCUCAAGCCCAAGUUAAGUGCCAACUUAAAAUGGAUUCCCGAGACACCCCUGGCGUGUGAAUUAAUUCUAUUUGUAUUAAUAUUUGGAAUGUCACGCAGGAUGCCGCAGCUGGUUUUGCAUGACACUCUGGCACUCUCUCCACAGCAUUUUUAUCAUUAAAAUGACCAUGUUUUAAAAGCAAUGACAUACCGUGUGAGAGACUUUAUAAGAGUGAGAAGGAUGAAAAGCUGGAAAUUUCUCUAUUGGCCUCUGCCUAUUAAACACCCUACCUUUACAACAGCAGGACACAUUUUGGUGUCAAAGAACAGGGCACUGUAUUCAAUUUCGGUGCAGUGAGGGGUUUGAGUAAUCCUGUCUCUUUACAUUUGAGAUCACAGCACUUCUAGAAAAGUCAACAGAAUCAGCUGCUCCAAAAUAAUGUCCACAAGUCAGGCAUACUCACACAAAAAUACUCCUUGUGAGGAGGUAAGAAAUUAAAAUAACAUCUGGCAGAGAAAAAUCUGUUCUCAAGAGCUAAAACCAAAGAGGAGUGUCAGAGCUUGAGGUCUUCUCUUUGGAAAGCCUCUGCAACCAGCACUACUGGUUUUGUGGCAACAAGACAGAGCCAGUUUAGAUCAGUGAAAACUAGGUACAAACGAAUACCUCCCUUCAGUCUACAGUUUCAAAUGUUUCUUAACAUCAAACACUUUUACGGCUUGGAAAUGAAAACAUCACCUGGUUUGGGUUGUAUUUCUUUCCCUUCCAGGAUUCUGGUGAAGAUGGCAAUAAAACUAAUAUGGCUACAGAGAGCAGGAAGAAUCAUGAAAACAAGGAUAAGGUGCACGCUACUUCAUCAGCUCUUAAUCAAGAAGGAACUCUAGCCUUCCCUCCACAGAAGACAAGAGUGAAUGAGGCCAGGAGAUUGAGAAAAGCGUGCAGCUAACAGGUUUCAGUGGAUCUGACCCACUCUGAUGAUGAAAUCUAAAAGGAGAGCCUCAUCUCUCUUCUGAAAAUGCUGGGAAGGAGGCUUAGAGAACAGUCAACUAAAAGGUGACAGCCACAGGUGGGAGUGACCACUUCAUAUUUACAAGACUGAGCCACACUGGAUACUGUCUGCCAUUUACACACAACCUGAAGACCAGUUCAGUCCCAUAUGGUUUUUGGAGAGGAAAAGACAGACAUGCAUGGGAUCAGCUGCAGAACUGGCAAAGAGAGAGUUACACAAUAGUUUUCUUUUUCUCCCUCUAGAAGCAAAUAUAAACCUACUUUAUGAUGGCAGUCCUCGUUUCCCAGAGAAGCACUUUUGCAAUAAUAACACCAUAGAAUAAAAGCUUGAGCGACCAGGGGCAUUUAGAAAAAUAAAGCCUUCCCGCUUCCAAGUAUUGUGUUGUCAUUGCCCUGUUCCUUACAUUUUCUAUCAGGAGCUCACCAUAUUCCUACAUACUCCAAGACCGAAGUGCACAGUCAUUGUCCCUCCCCAGUGGCGUUGCUUUGAGGAAUAGCUGAAUUAUCAUGUGGACAGUCACUCUGAACAGUGUCUGGUACAUUUAGUAAGCUCUCUAUAAGUCGUGGCUAUCGCUACUGUUGUGCUGGUGUUGUUAAAUGUGGCUCAAUUAGCCACAACAUACAUAUUACAUGCCAAAUAUUUUUAAAGCAAAUAUGUGGCUUGUUUGUAGUUUUCAUCUGUAUUCUAUAUCCCAUGGGGAGAAUUCCUUUUUCUUUUCUUUUUUUUUUUUUUUUUGAGACGGAGUCUCGCUCUGUCGCCCAGGCUGGAGUGCAGUGGCGCGAUCUCGGCUCACUUCAAGCUCCGCCUCCCGGGUUCACGCCAUUCUCCUGCCUCAGCCUCCCGAGUAGCUGGGACUACAGGUGCCCACUAAUUUUUUGUAUUUUUAGUAGAGACGGGAUUUCACCGUGUUAGCCAGGAUGGUCUCGAUCUCCUGACCUCGUGAUCCACCUGCCUCGGCCUCCCAGAGUGCUGGGAUUACAGGCGUUAGCCACUGAGCCUGGCCUCCCAUGGGGAGAAUUCUAAUCAUGAAAGCAGCCAUUUAAAAAGGAUGAAAAUAUUUAAGCUACCUACUUUCUCUCUUACCUUUUAAACUUUGUAAGUGUCUAGAGCAGGGCUUCUCGGCCUAGGCACUGUUGACAUUUGGGGCUGGACAAUUCUUUGCUGUGUGGGGGGAUGCCCUGUGGACUGCAUGAUGUUUACCAGCAUCCCUGGGCUCUAUUCACUAGAUGCCAGUGGCACCCUCUUCCAGUCUUAAUAAUCCCAAAUCUCUCCAGACAUUGCCAAAAUGUCUUUGGGGGACAAAAUUGCCCCUAACUGAGAACCACUAGUCUGAGCCAUUUUGAAAUAGAUGAAUGAACUACAGACGUAAGUUCUCUAAAAUGUGCCUCGAAUGUGAGAUGGUAUGCUCUCACCAAGGAUUUCACUUACACCACAAAUAGCAUUUUACUAGAAGUAAACUGAAACCCAUUGCCUAACAGGAACAGUGAGAUGCUUGGCACUAACAAGUUACGGUGAGCAAAAUAGUCUAAACUUGUUCACAUAUGCAAACUCAACAUUUAAUUUUCUGCAAGAUUACCCACAAUAAUUACAAAGUUUCUAUACUAUAGCCUUAAAAGCUUGGAACUAUGAGAUCCAUAAGAAUUGAUCCUUUAUCUUUUACCUUUACUGUGUACUGUGUCUGUGCAACAUAGCAAAUGAAUGUAGGCAAUAUUUUCUUCUAAUUUCUAGGAGUACUAAAGUGAAACUUUCCUAAAAUUAAAUUGAUUAUUAAAUAAUCCAAUGGAGGGAAAUACAGAGUCAACUCGAAUGUACAA